rnacentral:misc_RNA from 1 species
AAAAAAAAAAAAAAAAAGAAAGAAUCCUUAUGGACUUUGCACAAAUGCCAGAAACAAAUUGAAAGAGUGCAGACACCCUGGCGAAAAGAAGUAUAAAUUCCCAAUCAAAAUGAGCAGGUGAACUCUCCAAGCCGUUAAUGCUGAUCUUGAAUUUUCAACGAAACUAGUUCACUCUCUUGCACUUGAUUCCUGAAUUUAAAACCAGGAGGGAACCAUCUUCGCAGCCUGUCUGGCCAGAACAGAUCCAAUCUUUCACAUAUUGCCCGACGCACGGAAGAGUUCAGACCAUAUGCUAUCGAGUUGAAGAGUCCCUGAAACAUAAGAAAAAGAAAGCUAACUAAUUUUCAUUUAUUGAACUUAAAAUCAUAAAGCAAUCCAUUAUAGAGACAACAUUAUCAGUCAUACUAACUAUAAAAUUUUUCCAUUUUUCAGGAGCUCCUUUCUUUGUCAAUAGUUACCUAGUCCAUGAAAUCACUUCUGAACAACCAGUAGUCAUGCAUUAGAGGGCGGGAACUGCGGAAUGUUUCAGCAAGGCCAUCUAAAACUAUAAACCUAAACUAAUAAUAAAUUUGCCUCUAGGAUAUUCAUAUCCUGGCUGCAUCAAACUCUUCUACUUUAGAAGACAUUUUAGCAAAUUAUCUACUCCCCACCAGCAGUGAAAAAGGGAUAUCAACAUAAAUCCUAAUCAAGAAUCUGAUCAGAAGAUAAAAUGACACUAUUAUCCAAAUUGAUAAAUUAUUUCCAUGGAAGGAAUUUCCUAGAACUAGUGUCAUUUCCCAAAUGCAGAAACAUGUAAAAAUAAAACAUUAACUGUCACUGUUCAUUUACAAUCAAGAUAAAUAGUUCUUGGAUGGUUGGAUCUGCAAAAUAUUUAUCAAAAUGUGAUCAAUCAAUGUAACCAUAAAGAUUGUAACCGUUGCUAGGAUAUUCCAGGAAAAACUUGAUUAAAAGAGAAUACAUUAAUGGUCAUUGGAAUUACCAUAAGAGCAGCUGUUCCAACAUCAAGAACUGAGAGCCAAAGGAUUUUGUGGCCUGGUGCAACAAAAUCAUGAAUGCGGUUGAUUGUGCCAAAAGCCCAUGAUCCUAUUAGGAUGAGUGGAUAGUAUCCCCAUCGGUUCAAAGCCUUCAUGUCUGGUCUUGCAUCAAAUUGAUAUGCUCGGUCUGACAUGCCUACUGCCAUCUGAAAUUUCCGAUCAUGUUGUAAGUGUUGCCUCAACUUGUAUACAGUCAAAUAGGAAAAGGAAAAGAUUAGAGUUCUGUACAUACACGUGUUGCAUUAUUUAGCAUGCGUAUGACCUGAAAGUAUGUAAACCCAUUGUAAAGUAUUGCACCCCAGAGUGGUGCAUAAAAUGUUAUAAAGUGAAUUGCCUGCAUAUGUAGAUAGAAAUACAUAGGCAUGACUAACACAUCAGAGAUUAAAUAAAGGAAACUGAAAUUUUGAAGAAAUUCAUUCUUUGAUCGAGGCAACUUCUAACAUCCACAAUCGUUGACAGGUUUUUGAGUUGGUUUUAAAUAUGAAAAUGGUAAAAGAAAUGUCUUGCAGCUUCACUUUCCUGAAGUAUCAGAGCUCUAGCUACAAAAGAAUCCUCGGGCUUUAAAAAUAAAAGUAAUAUACAGAAAACUAUCAUGUACUUGCCUUUCUUGUUCUCCCUAUUUCUGUCCAACACCAUGCACCUAAAUGUCCAUGAUUAUUACCAAUGGAGCGUAUUACAGUCAUAACCAAUGACGUUCCCCAAACAUACAAAUGAAACAUGGCCUCCAAGUCUUCAACAUCUGUUUUGUGUUUAACAACAGUACGAUGAAGAGUAAAAGCAAUAGUCGUGGUCCACAGAAAAGAUGCUACACAGAAGAAAUGUGUGCUGUAGCCCUGAGCAAUACAAAAGAAUCCUUUGGAAGGAUCCCUGCUUACAACAGAAGUUUGUUAUGCAAAAGGCAAUGACAAUGACUUUGAUAGUAUAGAAGAGUGGAAAAAGAACAAGGAACAGAGUUAUUAAGCUGUAGGAAGCAUACCCAACUAUGCUGAAGAAACUGCAAAGCAUGUCGGAGAGGGCGAGAUAGAAUACAAGCUUGAAGGAGAACUUGCGUAGCUCUUUGAAGAGGACAUAACAUAGAACUAUGAAGCUGGACCCUACAAAUGAAAGACUAGAUGCCCCUGCGUUCACCGACGUAAGAAUCUGCCGAUCGUGAGCCGUGAGGUUACCGGCGACCUGCACCAUCGCCAUUCUCGAUCUGUAUGUUUCUGAUAAUUACUCGAGUCUUCAGUUGGCCACUACAUAGUAAUACGCGCGAAGACGGGGAAGUGGAAGGGAAGAGCCAGGAGGCUAUAAUUGGUAAAAUAAAUGCAAAUCUACUACAAGUUCCUCGCCUUGGCCGAGUGGCCAAUUCAUUUGACUACCAUGUUAAGAGUAAUAUUGGCUUCCGCGUUUUAGGUCG